rnacentral:rRNA from 1 species
UACGGAGGGGGCUAGCGUUGUUCGGAAUUACUGGGCGUAAAGCGCACGCAGGCGGACUUGUAAGUCAGAGGUGAAAUCCCAGGGCUCAACCUCGGAAUUGCCUUUGAUACUGUCUAUCUUGAGGCCGGGAGAGGUGAGUGGAAUUCCUAGUGUAGAGGUGAAAUUCGUAGAUAUUAGGAAGAACACCAGUGGCGAAGGCGGCUCACUGGCCCGGUACUGACGCUCAUGUGAGAAAGCGUGGGGAGCAAACAGG